UACGUAGGGUGCAAGCGUUGUCCGGAAUUAUUGGGCGUAAAGAGCUCGUAGGCGGUUUGUCGCGUCUGCUGUGAAAUCCCGAGGCUCAACCUCGGGCUUGCAGUGGGUACGGGCAGACUAGAGUGCGGUAGGGGAGACUGGAAUUCCUGGUGUAGCGGUGAAAAUGCGCAGAUAUCAGGAGGAACACCUGUGGCGAAAAGCGGCUCACUGGACCA
rnacentral:rRNA from 1 species